rnacentral:lncRNA from 1 species
ACAGCAACAUCUCAAGAGCUGCAUGUGUCUUUGUAUACUGCGUUACCACUCCCCUGCUGGAAGAGACUGUUUACCGAGGAUUUUUAUUGGCAUCAAUUUCAUCCACCAUGAAAUGGCAGUCAGCUGUUUUUAUAAGCUCAACUAUAUUUAGUGCAGCUCACUUCUCUGGUGAGAAUUUCCUACAAUUGUUCAUUAUUGGAUGUGUCCUUGGAUGCUCUUAUUGUUGGACUGGAAACUUGAGAUCCUCCAUUUUAAUACAUUCCUUGUACAACGUCAUGACCCUAAUGAUAACAUACUUAUCCUAAGCUCACAUCUAAGUCUCCUUGACAGUUUUGUUAUGUAUCUUGAUUGUGAACCUUCUUUUGUCUCAGGUAAUUGACUACACUAGGCCUCACAUGUGUUUUUAAUCACUUAUUUAAUGUUUAGAAUGGCUUUAAAUGGCAAAAGUUAAUCAUAUAUUAGAUCCUGUAAAGUUUCAGUGACAGAACAGACCCAAAAGAAGAAGAAAAAGAAGCCUAAUCUCUACUUUUGUAUAUUUGAUCAGUAGAAGACUAGAACUUGUUUCAUUCUCUAACAAGAUAAGACAUAUUGCAUAUCCUUGAAGCAGAUCUUGUGUUAUUUGGUUAUCAUUGAUGCCAAGUCUUCAAGUCUUUCUGUUUGUUUCUCUGGCCAAUAGUCAUGAAUUUUGUUUCAGGUACUCUUCCAGGAUUGUCCAUCUUUUUCAGAGUAAGAGAACAUGCAUAAUGUAGUCCAAGCUUAUGGCAUAAACAUUUUUACUUUGCUCAUGACAUCCAGUUAUUCUGAAUCUGUAAAUGUCGUAUAUGUUCUAGUUUGAUUUAGGUGAUGUAGCGGUUGCGGCUUUUUGUUAGUUACGGGAGAAAGCAAACGGUAGAGCUUUUAGUCACACCGUGAAUCCGAAAGCAACCUAUUCCCUUGAGUUUGAAGCUGGUAUGACUGUUGUUUCCCACCUGCCUUUGAUUUAGGUGCAAGUCACCCAGUUUGGUUUCCAGGAUCAGUAACACAUAAUAAUACAGCAACUCUCAUUUGACUGGUGGUUGCACAUCAAGGGGUGCUGACAAGUUGUUGUCAAGGAAGAAGCCAUAAGCCACCACUUGUGUGCGGCACUAUUUGUUAGAAAAGAGAGAUUGGUAGAAAACUAGAACUGGCAUUUGGAUUGGAAUAGGAUUCCAUUUUGCCUUAAUGUGCCAAAAGAUUCUUAUUUUGAACCAGAGAGAGAGAUGGAAUCCUAUUCCUAGAAAAUAGAAAUAGCAGCUGCUGCUACCAUGGCAUCCUAGUUUUGGAGUCUUUAUAUCGUCAGUGAUCAGUCUCUUCCUCUUCCUCUGCAAGUGUUACUUUUGUAGCAACCUCUUCCUCUUUGGCUAAUCAUAACCAAUUAAGAAGAAGAAGAAUCCAGAAAGAAAAGGGAAAGGGAAAGGGAAAGGGAAAGAGAAAGAGAGACCCACGGUGACAUGACAAUAAGCAAGUGGAAAGACAGCUAAUGCUUAUUCCGCAAUCAACGUCGGCAAAGGAAAGCCUAGCCUAUCCUCGUUGGAUGGCCGCCACGUGCGCCCAAUGAGUCAGCCUUUCCUCGUUGGAUGACCACCACGUGUGCCCAAUGAGUCAUUUGAUGGGAGCAUUUCCUCUCCAUGACCGCCACGUGUCAGUCGGUCACUUGUAUGUGUUUAUUUAUACGUGAACACCCCAGACACCUCCAUCUGUUCGUCUAGUUCUAGUCUUCUCUUGUCUCUGUGUUGGUUUGAAAGAAAGAAAAGAAAAGAAAGGAAAGCUUAAGAGGAUCGAGGAAUCAAUGGGCGGGUUUGAGCAUCAAGUGAGGAAGAGGGCCUAUGAGCUCAAGAACAUGGUCAAGAAGGGUGUCAGGGUCGUGGGGAAUUCAUGCAAGAAAGGCUGGUUUAAGGUCAAGCACAUCAGGCGCUAGCCAUGCCACCCCUUUACCUUUCACAUCUCUGUCUCUACCUGCUUAAUUUCUUGAAUCGUUUUUAUUUCAGUUUUGAUUGUAUCAUUCUACUUUGAAGUUUCUUUUACAUUCGGUUCUUGUAUUGCUUUGAUAUUCGUACGUACGUAGUACCUGUGUUCAUAUAUAUAUAGAUAAACCUUCUCUUGCUGUUGUCCAAAUUAAGUUGUGCCUUCGGAAUUGAACCGGUUCUCGAUCACAAAAGUGAUCACUGAUCAGAUCCCUGUUAUUGGCUUUUAUAUCCAUCUUCUUGCAACUGGUUUAUAUUCACAUCUCUUACAGGCUUACAGGCGCCAAUACAACUCUGAUUCACCAACUUUUGAGUAAUAGGCAGGCUCUGUUUAGGUUUUGGAUUGCCCAACAUGUACAGCUCUUAAUUAUUGGUUUUUUGCUUGAUAAAAUUCCAAGAAAUAGAGUCAUAUUUGAUUCAUCUGGCUGAGCAGCGUGUUCUGUAACCGUCUUUUGUUAAAGGACCAGAGCAGAUGAAUCUCAGCCUUCUUCUAUAAGCUUCCUGUUAACAGGCUAGAUCCAGAUGCCGACAUGAUUUUGUGUUUUUAUCUUCUUCCUGUGUACGGAGACUCUAUCAGAUAAUUUUUUGUACAUUGAAAUGGCAAAAAUUGAACUCCAGAAGUCUGCCUUUUCUUUUUCUUUUUCUUUUUGUUGCAUGUCCUCAGUUAGAUGACUGAAAAAUUCUGCUCACGGGCAGAAGCACAGGCUGUCAAUUGGUGAGCUGCUGUAUUUGCCUCCAACAAAUCAUGAACUAAUGAACUAAACGAGAAACUCAUUAAUAUAGUCUACCCGAACUAGUGUUCUUCCUACUUAGUGAACGCAGAUAUGGCAAACAUUAUUGAAAUUGACAUGAAUAAUUAAAAAGUUCUUGGCAAUGAAAUUGAGACGAGAAAGGGAAACAUGUCUUAAGCGGUUAUGCCAAAGAUCAGUGGAGGAGGUGGUGAGGUUGCAGGCUGGUUUGUUGAUGAGGUUUGGAGAAGGGUCGGUGGAGGAUCUCUUCAUCGCUAAAGCCACCAAGUAGUAUAAACCGUCACGCUCCUUACCUAAACCAAUCAUCCUCGUCGUAGCUAAAGUCUGCAAAACACAUCAAUAAGAAAAAAAAGGUCAUGAAACAAUGUAAGCCUCUAGUUAGCGGACUAACAAACAUUAAAUCCACCUUAAGGUAGGCAUACAUAGCACAUCAUGUAAAUAAUAUGCAGAAUUUAAAGGAAAUGAUCCCUUCGCAAUAAUAUGGGAGGUAGUGAACAAUUCUUUGCUCCAGAUGAAAAUAAUUUUGAGGACGAAGGAAUAUGGUCUGUUGCACCACUAUCAAUGAUCCAGCGAUUACGGGAGGUGUAUUGUAUAUGGAAUUAGUGAAAGUUUUAAAGAAGUCUAUGGAAUUUGAAAGUCUAGGUGUAUUCAAUACAGACUUUUAAAAAUCAAUCAAAGUCUGGGUGUAUUCAACUAGAUUUUAAAAAAUCAUUAUGAAUUCCACUAAAGUUUAAAGGUAUUCAAUUAAAAGAUUUUUUAAAAUGAUUAAAAGUUCAGAUGUAUUCAAAAUAUUAUUCAUACUUAUGAAAUUAAUAACUCAUGGAUAAUGAACUACACAUUUGUUACACAAGACAGGCCAGCAUACUUACCAACAUAUACGCAAAGCGCCGCACCUCUCUAACCCUAGGGAGAGAGCGAACUCACAGAGACAAAUCGCGCCUGUCCGGCUGCGCCACGCCGCCAGCGACGGUCUCUGACCUUGCAGGUGUACGCGAGGUUCGGCCGGACGGGUUAAGCUAAGUCCUUGGCUCGGAGAUGCUUGGGUAGGCUCUUCCUUUCCUCUAUGGCUGAAGAUUUCAACCGCCCCGGGAACGAGUGAAAGUGGAGAUUGGAGGACGUUUUAGAGUAGGCAAGGCUUGAUCGAAGAUAGGAGGGUCUCGACAUCAGGCAAUCUCUGUCUGAUCUCUUGGUCGGGCAAGGUUUUGUAGGUUUGAUGUUGGAUACUUUAAUCUCGUUUCACUUUGUGAUUUCUCCUAGAAUGAAGCGGCGACUGGUGGCUGUUGACGGUCGUCGGCAGGUUUGGACGGCGACGGGACGAGUUGCAGGUCCGGCUUCAGGGUGGCGAGAGGGCGGUGGCGGGGUUGAGAUCUGGGCUGGUAGAACUGGUUUUGCCCCAUCUAAUCAGAUCUGGGCUUGGACUCAAAAUGGGCUGAAGUUGGGCUAGGGCUUCCUUUCGGGCCCUAGUUUGCUUUCUUCUAUGUUAAUUACUUUCCUUAGUUUUUUUCUAAUUUCUAAGCCCAUAUUUUGGGCCUCUAUGGUUUUAAAUUAGUUUUACUAGUUUAUUUCCAACUAAUCCCUAUGUAGGUUUCUAGGAACUAAGUAGGUUUUGAUGCUUGCAGAUUAUGAUAUGUCUUUUACAUCUAGAUAGUGAACACUUUCUGUCAUACCGCGAUUGAGCGUCUUGGCGACAGAAGUUUUCAAGCAAAAUUAUCUCUAUGUAGGGCUAGAUUAUAGCUUCCUAGGCUCAUCGUCGAUGAGCGACAAUGUUCAAUGUAAUAGCACGUGAAUCACCUCAAUUCGUUUGGGUUUGUAUCGGUGUCAUUCUAGCUGCGACUAUUAAUACAAUGGGUUUUAAGCCCACCUUUGCGUCAAAAAAAAAUAACUCAUGGAUAAUUGUAGACUUUGUAGUGUAAAUUACACACACCAAACUCUAAUAUUUUUCCAU